rnacentral:rRNA from 1 species
CAAGUCGCACGAGAAAGCAGUAGCAAUACUGUGAGUAAAGUGGCGUACGGGUGAGUAACACGUGGAUCAUCUACCUUCUAGUGGGGAAUACCCCUGGGAAACUGGGGACAAUACCGCAUAAGCUCGAGAGAGGAAAGCAGCAAUGCGCUGGAAGAGGAGUCCGCGGCUGAUUAGCUAGUUGGCGGGGUAAUGGCCCACCAAGGCGAAGAUCGGUAGCCGGCCUGAGAGGGCACACGGCCACACUGGCACUGAAACACGGGCCAGACUCCUACGGGAGGCAGCAGUGGGGAAUCUUGCACAAUGGAGGAAACUCUGAUGCAGCGACGCCGCGUGAGCGAUGAAGCCCUUCGGGGUGUAAAGCUCUUUCGACGGGAACGAUAAUGACGGUACCCGAAGAAGAAGCUGCGGCUAACUACGUGCCAGCAGCCGCGGUAAUACGUAGGCAGCAAGCGUUGUUCGGAAUUACUGGGCGUAAAGAGUGUGUAGGCGGUGUUCUAAGUCUGGUGUGAAAUCUCCCGGCUCAACUGGGAGGGUGCGCUAGAAACUGGAAUGCUAGAGGAUGGGAGAGGUAAGCGGAAUUCCUGGUGUAGCGGUGAAAUGCGUAGAUAUCAGGAGGAACACCUGUGGUGUAGACAGCUUACUGGACCAUUUCUGACGCUGAGACACGAAAGCGUGGGUAGCAAACAGGAUUAGAUACCCUGGUAGUCCACGCCCUAAACGAUGCAUACUUGGUGUGAGCGAUUCAUUUCGUUCGUGCCGGAGCUAACGCGUUAAGUAUGCCGCCUGGGGAGUACGGUCGCAAGGCU